AGUUGGGAAAAUAUUUUCAAUAUUUCAACUGACUGCUUCACUAAGUCACAAAUAAUACAGCUAAUCCUGAGGUCACUCGCUUACAAAAACCUAUUUGCUGUGCUUCAGAGCAAAAUGAAAAUAUAUAUUACAAAUGAUGCCACCAGUGGCAAGCCUCCAUUUUAAUAAAGACCCCAGAGGCUGUUUACUCAGGUGAACACAUUUAUUUGUAACCAGCGUUUAAUGUAAAAUU
rnacentral:lncRNA from 1 species